rnacentral:rRNA from 1 species
UACGGGAGGCAGCAGUGGGGAAUAUUGCACAAUGGGCGAAAGCCUGAUGCAGCUAUGCCGCGUGUAUGAAGAAGGCCUUAGGGUUGUAAAGUACUUUCAUCGGGGAGGAAAAAACAAAACUAAUAAUUUUAUUUCUUGACGUUACCCGAAAAAGAAGCACCGGCUAACUCCGUGCCAGCAGCCGCAGUAAUACGGAGGGUGCUAGCGUUAAUCAGAAUUACUGGGCGUAAAGAGCACGUAGGUGGUUUUUUUAAGUCAGAUGUGAAAUCCCUGGGCUUAACCUAGGAACUGCAUUUUGAAACUGAAAUACUAGAGUAUCGUAGAGGGAGGUAGAAUUCUAGGUGUAGCGGUGAAAUGCGUAGAUAUCUGGAGGAAUACCUGUGGCGAAAGCGGCCUCCUAAACGAAUACUGACACUGAGGUGCGAAAGCGUGGGGAGCAAACGAGGAUUAGAUACC